ACGGCGAGUGAAGCGGCAACAGCUCAAAUUUGAAAUCUGGCCCCUCUGGGUCCGAGUUGUAAUUUGGAGAGGAUGUUUUGGGCACCGCGGCGGUGUAAAUUUCUUGGAACAGAAUGUCAUAGAGGGUGAGAAUCCCGUCUUGGACCACCGUAGGACCCGUGUAAAACUCCUUCGACGAGUCGACUUGUUUGGGAAUGCAGGUCAAAAUGGGUGGUAAAUUUCAUCUAAAGCUAAAUAUUGGCCAGAGACCGAUAGCGCACAAGUAGAGUGAUCGAAAGAUGAAAAGCACUUUGAAAAGAGAGUUAAACAGUAUGUGAAAUUGUUGAAAGGGAAGCGCUGGCAACCAGACUCGUGCGCGGGGUUCCCCCUUGCUUCUGCUUGGGUUACUUCCCCGUGUCCGGGCCAUCAUCAGUUUUGGGGGCCGGUUAAAGGCCCCGGGAAAGUAUCCUCCCCUUCGGGAGAGGACUUAUAGCCCGGGGUGUCAUGCGGCCUCCCGGGACUGAGGAACGCGCUUCGGCGAGGAUGAUGGCGUAAUGGUUGUCAGCGACCCGUCUUGAAACACGGACCAAGGAGUCUAACAUCUAUGCGAGUGUUCGGGUGUCAAACCCUGGCGCGUAAUGAAAGUGAACGGAGGUAGGAAGGCCUGAGCCUGCACUAUCGACCGAUCCUGAUGUCUUCGGAUGGAUUUGAGUAAGAGCAUAGCUGUUGGGACCCGAAAGAUGGUGAACUAUGCGUGAAUAGGGUGAAGCCAGAGGAAACUCUGGUGGAGGCUCGCAGCGGUUCUGACGUGCAAAUCGAUCGUCAAAUUUGCGUAUAGGGGCGAAAGACUAAUCGAACUAUCUGGUAGCUGGUUUCUGCCGAAGUUUCCCUCAGGAUAGCAGUAACGUUUUCAGUUUUAUGAGGUAAAGCGAAUGAUUAGAGGCCUUGGGGUUGAAACAACCUUAACCUAUUCUCAAACUUUAAAUAUGUAAGAAGUCCUUGUUACUUAGUUGAACGUGGACAUUUGAAUGUAUCGUUACUAGUGGGCCAUUUUUGGUAAGCAGAACUGGCGAUGCGGGAUGAACCGAACGCGAGGUUAAGGUGCCGGAAUGCACGCUCAUCAGACACCACAAAAGGUGUCAAUGCAUCUAGACAGCCGGACGGUGGCCAUGGAAGUCGGAAUCCGCUUAGGAGUGUGUAACAACUCACCGGCCGAAUGCAUUGGCCCUGAAAAUGGAUGGCGCUUAAAGCGUGUUACCCAUACCUCGCCGUCAGGGUUGACAUGAUACCCUGACGAGUAGGCAGGCGUGGAGGUCCGUGACGAAGCCUUGGGGGUGACCCCGGGUCGAAC
rnacentral:rRNA from 1 species